rnacentral:rRNA from 1 species
GUGGGGAAUCUUAGACAAUGGGGGAAACCCUGAUCUAGCCAUGCCGCGUGAUCGAUGAAGGCCUUAGGGUUGUAAAGAUCUUUCAGGUGGGAAGAUAAUGACUGUACCACCAGAAGAAGCCCCGGCUAACUCCGUGCCAGCAGCCGCGGUAAUACGGAGGGGGCUAGCGUUGUUCGGAAUUACUGGGCGUAAAGCGCACGUAGGCGGAUUGGAAAGUUGGGGGUGAAAUCCCGGGGCUCAACCCCGGAACUGCCUUCAAAACUCCCAGUCUUGAGUUCGAGAGAGGUGAGUGGAAUUCCGAGUGUAGAGGUGAAAUUCGUAGAUAUUCGGAGGAACACCAGUGGCGAAGGCGGCUCACUGGCUCGAUACUGACGCUGAGGUGCGAAAGCGUGGGGAGCAAACAGGAUUAGAAACCCUUGUAGUCC